GGGCCGGUCAGCAGCGGUGCUGCGUUGGCCGCCGUCGGAAUGCAGCCAAGGCGGAGCGUGCCGGUGACGUGUCCGCGCAGUGCGGCAACGUCGGCAACGAGUCCGUCCCGGCCCGCCA
rnacentral:tRNA from 1 species